ensembl:miRNA MIR181A1 microRNA 181a-1
GUUUGCUUCAGUGAACAUUCAACGCUGUCGGUGAGUUUGAGAUAAAUUGAGAAAACCAUCGACCGUUGAUUGUACCCUGCGGC